rnacentral:rRNA from 1 species
CACGUAGGGCGCGAGCGUUGUCCGGAAUUAUUGGGCGUAAAGAGCUCGUAGGCGGUGUGUCGCGUCGGUCGUGAAAACUUGGGGCUUAACUCUGAGCUUGCGGUCGAUACGGGCAUCACUGGAGUUCGGCAGGGGAGACUGGAAUUCCUGGUGUAGCGGUGAAAUGCGCAGAUAUCAGGAGGGAACACCGGUGGGCGAAAGGCGG